UACGUAGGGUGCGAGCGUUAAUCGGAAUUACUGGGCGUAAAGCGUGCGCAGGCGGUUCGUUGUGUCGGUGGUGAAAUCCCCGGCUUAACCUGGGAAUGGCCAUGGAAACUGGCGAACUGGAGUGCGGCAGAGGGGGUGGAAUUCCGCGUGUAGCAGUGAAAUGCGUAGAGAUGCGGAGGAACACCGAUGGCGAAGGCAGCCCCUGGCUAGCACUGACGCUCAGGCACGAAGCGUGGGAGCAACAGG
rnacentral:rRNA from 1 species